AUCCUCUGACAUGCCCAAGCUAGAAGCCUCGACAGUGCUCGCUAAAUCAGAAGAGGGACGACAAAACGCACGACAAAAACUACAAAAAUGUUUAGAGGGAUCCUUCUCAGCCUCUCACUCUCGCUGAAUUUAUGGUUCUGUGAGGUAGCAUUAACAACUCAGCAAGAAGCACCAUAUAUUAUUAUGGAUGAAACCAACAUCAACCCUGAGGUUGCAAAACUUCUAGGCAGAAUUAAAUAUGUUGCUCGAAGCUGCAAAGAAAUUCGUGAGAAGUAUCAUGUUCA